AACGCCUCGAACAGCGUGUCAGAGAACUGGAGGAAGAUCGGCAGCGGUUAAGCCGGCAGCUGGAUACAUUUAAUGAUCUGAGAAAUAUGCUGGCUGAGGUCUUGGCCAGCCAUCGCCAGCCCCCAACCAGCCAUCACCAGCCCCCAACCAGCCAUCACCAGCCCCCAACCAGCCAUCACCAGCCCCCAACCAGCCAUCACCAGCCCCCAACCAGCCAUCACCAGCCCCCAACCAGUCAACCAAGAACAGGCAAAUGAUGAUGUUGUCAUUGGAGGAACCCUCAGGGUCAACAAAAUUCAAUUGCAAAGAUGCAACCACCAACUCCCGACCAAGCUGGUGUGCGACCUGCUAGGAGUUGUAUUUUCAAAAAGAGAGAUGGCCACCUCGUCCCUGACUGGACAAAAGGGCAGUGCCAAAGACGAAAUAAAACCACCACUGGAGGCCACCGCGGUCAAAGCUAUUUUUGAAUACACUCUGCAGAAAUUUCCUAAUGUGGAACUAUCCGUCCUGAGGGGAGCCGUCAGGAAUAAGUUAAACAAUGUCAGCAAGCUGUUCAAGAAAACACAGGCUGAAGCUGGAUCCGAUGAACCCUGAUCCCUCAGACAUUGAAUUAUUUGUG